rnacentral:lncRNA from 1 species
CCCUCUUCCUACUUCAAUUUCUACUCAGUUUUCACUUGUCAUCCUGUUGAUUAACAUCUUAACAAUCUCUUCUUUCUACAACAUUGUAGACAGUGUCUUGCUGUGUUGCCUAGGUUAGUCUCUAGCUCCUGGACUCAAGUGAUCCUCCUGCUUCAGCCUCCCAUAAUGCUAGGAUUACAGGUAUGAACCACUGUGCCUGGCCUUAUUAUUUGUGAUAAUGAUUCCUAAUAAUAACAGUGACUUCAAUUUGUUUAUAAUUUAUGCACCAGCUUUGUAUUACCUCACAGGUGUGUCUACAUUUUAUGACUGAGGAAUGUAAUGAUUAU